ACAGAGACAGAAGUUGGAUAAAUUACAGUUUGAAAUCGUGGCGCUUGGCGUAAAGUCCAGAGAAAAAAUAUAUGAAAAACUCGAUUCUCUGGGAGAGGGUUAGACAAUACCAACGACACGAUAGUUACCAUCAAGAAGGUGGUGAUUAAAGAUACCAUGCUGGUGCUGACUCCAGCCAACAUCAAAGGCUUCAUAGUGAUGACUCUACUGGGCCUGGAGUACAUGCACCACACACUGUCAUACAAUACACACCUUCUCAUAGGUGCUUGUGUCAGUAAACACUGUACGAUCUGAAGCCCAAUAACCUGCUGGGUGAGAAUGGGCUGCUGAAGCUGUCUGAUUUUUGUUUGACUAAAACUCUCGGCAGCCCUACAGUCUACACUCACCAGGUAGUCACCUAUGGCGUUGUUCUCCAGAGUUGUUCGGUGCCAGGAUGCAUGGGGUGGGAGUCGACAUGUGGGCCGUGGACUGCGUCCUUGCGGAGCUUUCACAGGUACACACCAUAAGCUCAGUCCAAUUUAAACAUUGAGACGAGACAAAACAAGUUUGCCUGUAGAAUGGCACUGAAACUAGGCAGCUCAAUUGAACUUUGUUCUGAAAUUGUCUUGUCUCUGUGAUUUAAAAAUAAAUCUAGACUGAGCAUCAAGGUUCAGACUACUGUAUUGUCAGACACACACCUUUCUGUAUACAUAAUUCUGCAUCCCAAAUGACAAGGUAUUCCCUGUAUAGUGUGCUACUGUUGACCAGGGCACAAGGACUCUGUUCAAAAGUUGUACAAAUGUAGGGAAUGUGGUUGCCAUUUGAGACUCAUGUUCCCUGCUACUCUGUGGUAUAACACCCUCUCUCUCUUGUUACCAUUCCUAGCAGGAAACUCCUGGGCUGUGAGUGUCUGUCUUUUCUGUGUCUGCAUGUGUGGUUCAUUUAAGACUAAGCAACACCU